GACGAACGCUGGCGGCGUGCUUAACACAUGCAAGUCGAGCGGAAAGGCCCUUUCGGGGGUACUCGAGCGGCGAACGGGUGAGUAACACGUGAGUAAUCUGCCCCUGGCUUUGGGAUAGCCACCGGAAACGGUGAUUAAUACCGGAUACGACCACUUCUCGCAUGGGAUGGUGGUGGAAAGAUUUUCGGCCAGGGAUGUGCUCGCGGCCUAUCAGCUUGAUGGUGAGGUAAUGGCUCACCAUGGCUUCGACGGGUAGCCGGCCUGAGAGGGGGACCGGUCACACUGGGACUGAGACACAGCCCAGACUCCUACGGAGGGCAGCAGUGGGGAAUAUUGGACAAUGGGCGUAGGCCUGAUCCAGCAACGCCGCGUGAGGGAUGACGGCCUUCGGGUUGUAAACCUCUUUCAGCAGGGACGAAGCGCAAGUGACGGUACCUGCAGAAGAAGCACCGGCCAACUACGUGCCAGCCGCCGCCGUAA
rnacentral:rRNA from 1 species